rnacentral:misc_RNA from 1 species
UCUUCUUCUUCUUCUUUUUUUUGAAACCCUCGACUCGUCGCCGUGUUCAAAGUUUAUAUUUACGAUUGAAUCGGGGGUUGCUUCUUCUUCUUUUUUUAUUAUGGGUUUGGUAGCGGCUUUGCUUGAGAUUUUACAAAGACCAACUUUUGGGGAGGUAAUAUUAGAGCUGGGGAUGUUUAUGGCACCCAUCUGGAUUGCUGUUCUUGUUGGGGUCUUGGUUGGAUGGUCAUGGAAGCCCAAUUGGGCCAAUCUUGCCAUUGAUUCUGUACCUACAACACAUGUUCCUUCUCUCCAAAACUUGUCUUCUGGCUUUUCAACUCUCAAAUUGCAAAUUCCCUCUUGGAUCAAGGAAACUCACUCCCCACACUCCAUUUCAUCCUCUACCUCCAGUUCAUUGCAUCUGGAAGCCGAAAAAUUGGUAGUAACCGAUGCAGACCUUCGUUACUUAGAUGGAUUAGUUGAAGAGAAAGAUGGAGGACCUGCGUGGAUUCAGAUGAUGGAUCGUUCUACACCAAAUAUGUCCUAUCAGGCUUGGCGUAGAGAUCCCGAGACGGGACCUCCACAAUAUCGUAGCAGAACUGUAUAUGAGGAUGCCACUCCAGAAAUGUUGAGGGAUUUCUUCUGGGAAGAUGAAUUUCGAUUGAAGUGGGAUGACAUGCUUAUACAUGCUGAAACAUUAGAAGAGUGUCCUACCACUGGAACCAUGGUGGUUCAGUGGGUGCGUAAGUUUCCCUUCUUUUGCAGUGAUAGAGAGUACAUUAUAGGCCGUCGAAUUUGGGAGUCAGGGCGGACAUACUACUGCGUCACUAAGGGUGUACCAUGCCCUUCUGUGCCCCGUCGCAACAAACCAAGACGUGUUGAUCUCUACUAUUCAAGUUGGUUCAUCCGCGCAGCUGAAUCCAAGAGAGAUGGUCGGAUGACUGCCUGUGAAGUAUUACUCUUUCAUUAUGAAGACAUGGGUAUACCUUGGGAAAUUGCCAAACUCGGGGUAAGGCAAGGUAUGUGGGGAGCUGUGAGGAAGAUUGACCCUGGUUUACGUGCAUACCAGAGACAUAGAGCGUCUGGAGACCCAAUUUCACGAUGUGCUUUCAUGGCGCAAGUCAACACCAAAGUUGAUAUUGAGAAUCUCAGAUCAAUGGGGAGCGAAACCUAUCUUUCUGAGAUUGAGCGUGAGGAUUCACCUGAGAAGCCUGCAGGGAGGAUCAUACCGCGGUUCUUAGUUGUUGGUGGGGCAAUUGCCCUUGCUUGUAGUCUUGAUCGUGGACUCCUGACAAAAGCGGUUAUAUUUGGAGUUGCUAGAAGGUUUGCAGGGAUUGGGAAAAGGUUGUGAAACUGCUCUAGUAUGGGUCGAGGCAUUUUUAUAUACAUCAUUUGAUCGAUAAGAGAACAUACUUUGGCAGCAAGGUAGCCACUGUGAAGAGCUAGGUCCUCCUCCAUAGUUAUAUUAUGUUGUCUUCUGUCAAGCUGCAAGGCAGCCACUGUUCAGGAGAAUCCAGAUUAUACUAUACAUGUAUUCGUUGAAAUUCUGGUGUCACUGAAUAUGUCAUGCUUCAAAUAAAAAGCAAAGCUGG